CCUCAUGUUGUUGUGAUAAUUAUAACCAUACCUGAAACAGAAGAAGACUGUUAGGAGUUUAUUUUUUUAUGAGCUCCUCUAUAGUUAGUGGGACAAAGUCUGUAAUAUUAAAGUAUUGGCUGACCUAUGUUAUGGCAAGCAGCAAAACAAUUACACCAAGAUUGGUGACUUGGGAUGCCUAACUAGUUGCCAAGUGCCGAUGAGAGGCUCUACUUAUAUGUUUGUAUGCCACUGAGCAUUGUGUCGGGAUGUUGGCCUCUCUGAUUAACUAUGAUGUGGGCUGGGGG